rnacentral:rRNA from 1 species
GAUGAACGCUAGCGGCAGGCCUAAUACAUGCAAGUCGAACGGUGUCUUCGGACAUAGUGGCGCACGGGUGCGUAACACGUAUGCAACCUACCUUACAUUGGGGGAUAGCCUUUCGAAAGGGAGAUUAAUACCGCAUAAGACAGUAGCUGGGCAUCCAGCAGCUGUUAAAGAUUUAUCGAUGUAAGCUGGGCAUGCGUCCAAUUAGCUAGUUGGUGAGGUAACGGCUCACCAAGGCAAUGAUUGGUAGGGGAACUGAGAGGUCAAUCCCCCACACUGGCACUGAGAUACGGGCCAGACUCCUACGGGAGGUAGCAGUAGGGAAUAUUGGGCAAUGGACGCAAGCCUGACCCAGCCAUGCCGCGUGCAGGAUGAAGGCGUUAUGCGUUGUAAACUGCUUUUAUACAGGAAGAAACGACUCUUGCGAGAGGCAUUGACGGUACUGUAUGAAUAAGCACCGGCUAACUCCGUGCCAGCCGCCGCUGUAAGAC